rnacentral:rRNA from 1 species
GUCUUCGUAGGUGAACCUGCGGAGGGAUCAUUUAUUCGGUUGCAUUAGCCAGACGAUCUUCGGAUUGUUAUGCAACCACUGACAUUGUCAGAAGGUCAACAGAAGAAAUCUCCGUCUGAUGUUAGGACCUGACUGGUAGGAGAACAUAAAACAAAAGAUGUUGAAGUCGAUCACAUUUCGAUGUGGCAAUAUCUUCUCACACUUUGGUGUGUUUUGAGGAGUAUCAGAAUAAUCCGUUCUGGUGCGCUUGACUCAUCGACUAGGAGAGAUGCUUUGCGAUGGAUGACUAGGGUCUUGUAUCGAUGAAGAACGCGGUUAAACGUGACAUUUAAUGUGACUUGCAACUCCCGUGAAUCAUCAAGAUUUUGAACACAUACGGAACUCUUGCUGCUUUCGAGUAGCAAGGGUACUUGCUUGUGAGUGUCAGUAUCUCAUUCAUAUUAGCUUUGGGAGGUCUUUCAUCCAAUUGAUUUGGAUUUAAGAACCCUCAGCUAUCAUCAAUCUUAGGAUUGGGUACUUGAAGAUCUCUGAUCUUUCGAAUACUGAAUUUUCUGACCUCAUUUGCGAGUGGUUACCCACUGAAUUUAAGCAUAUCAGUAAGCGG